AUGAAUCUGUUUGUAAAACAGUACAACAAGCUGCAGUUUGACCGUGAGCAAGAAGAGGGGUACCAGGAAAAACGAACUAGGCUGAGUGGAGCUGUCUUGAAGGCCAACACCCCACUUGAAGUGCAUGCUAGCAAAAUGUACACAAGAAAGAUGUUUGAGAUUUUCGGGGGAAUAUUGUACGAAUCCGGAAGCUAUGAUGUAGAAGAGAUCAUACCAAAAAAGAAAUACGUAGUAACACAUGUGAAAGCUGAAAAGCGAGAAAAAUGGUUCAAAUGCCGCUACGAGGUCAAUGUCUCUGACAAUCUGGGAUAUUUCUCCUGCAUAUGCGGACUUUUCGAGCACAUGGGGAUGGUUUGCUGUCACUCGCUGCAGGUCAUGAAUGUCCUCCGGCUUAAGGAGAUUCCCUCCAGGCACAUCCUGAAGAGAUGGAGCAUACACGGGAGAGACAAUCUGCCAGAUCAUCUUAAGCAUUAUCAACAAGACAUGGGGCCGCCAGACGCGCCAACUUAUAGACAUUCUGCUCUGUACAUCACUGCCCUGGAAGUGGUUAAAAUGGGUGACAGAAAUCUAGAAUCAUACAAAUUCAUGUUGGAUGGCUUGGUGGAUCUGCGGGAGAGAGGAGCAGAAAUUAGCACACCAAAUGAUGGACUAGGCAUUGCCGAGCAGCAGGUUUCGAAGACUGGAGUUGAUGGUGGUUCGAACAAGAAAACAAAAUCUUGUAAGGCGGCGUGCUCUGUUAGGAGUGUUGAAGGGAAUCACAUGACCAUCGGAGGAGCGACAUCGGUGUCAGUUCAUCCACCGCCAAGCCAGUGCCAGGAGUGUACAGCAUCCCAAGGACUGGCAUCAGAAGGAUCUUGUGCAAAUGCAGGUAGCUACAAUUCGGACUUCUCUGAAACUGCAUCGAGGCUUGCUGUCAGUUAG
rnacentral:rRNA from 1 species